GAUCCGAAAAGGUUAGAAAUGGAUUUGAGAUGAAUAGUGCAAGAGAGUACUUCCUUAAAGUCUGACGAAACGAAGGUUCCAUCUUUCCCGGGAAAAUAGUGAGAGGAGAGAGAGACAAUGACAUCAACAGCUGCAACACCGCCUUACCCGAGUGCGGCCAGGAUCGCCGAUUUCCUGUGCUUCCCACAAUACACGGCCUCUCUCAAAUGUCUGGAAGAAUACGGCUCCGACAAGAGUAAAUGCCAAGAACAAGAAAAAGGAGAGGGAAGCUCAUUUGGAACGUAACAAGAGUCGGUCUUUUUUCUGCUGAAAUCCCUCUUGAGAUUUUCUUCCAUGUUCAUGAAGGUGAAGUUAUGAGUUAAUAGGGUUAACUGAUACUAGACUCAGAAUCUGUAUAUCGGGAGACCAUUUUAUGGAGCAUUGAAAUAUUUUAGGGAUGUUUUCUGUUUGUGUGGAAUAAUAACGACUGUGUUCAACUCAGCUAUGGUAUACAUCUUGAGUUUCCGUUGAA